rnacentral:rRNA from 1 species
CCUACGGGAGGCAGCAGUGGGGAAUAUUGGGCAAUGGAGGAAACUCUGACCCAGCGACGCCGCGUGCGGGAUGAAGGCCUUCGGGUUGUAAACCGCUUUCAGUAGGGAAGAAGCGAAAGUGACGGUACCUACAGAAGAAGCACCGGCUAACUAUGUGCCAGCAGCCGCGGUAAUACAUAGGGUGCAAGCGUUGUCCGGAAUUAUUGGGCGUAAAGAGCUCGUAGGUGGUUCGUCACGUCGGAUGUGAAAAUCUGGGGCUCAACCCCAGACCUGCAUUCGAUACGGGCGAUCUAGAGUGUGGUAGGGGAGACUGGAAUUCCUGGUGUAGCGGUGGAAUGUGCAGAUAUCAGGAGGAACACCAAUGGCGAAGGCAGGUCUCUGGGCCAUUACUGACACUGAGGAGCGAAAGCGUGGGGAGCGAACAGGAUUAGAUACCCUGGUAGUCCACGCCGUAAACGGUGGGCACUAGUUGUGGGAACCUUCCACGGUUUCUGCGACGCAGCUAACGCAUUAAGUGCCCCGCCUGGGGAGUACGAUCGCAAGAUUAAAACUCAAAUGAAUUGACGG